rnacentral:rRNA from 1 species
AUACGUAGGUGGCAAGCGUUGUCCGGAUUUACUGGGCGUAAAGGGCGUGUAGGCGGUCUUGCAAGUCAGAAGUGAAAUUCCUGAGCUCAACUCGGGCGCUGCUUCUGAAACUGCAGGACUUGAGUGCUGGAGGGGAUAGCGGAAUUCCUAGUGGAGCGGUAAAAUGCGCAGAUAUUAGGAAGAACACCGGUGGCGAAGGCGUCUAGCAGGACACUAACGGAAGCUGCGGCGCAAAAGCGUGGGGAGCAAACAGGAUUAGAUCCCCUGGUAGUCCACGCCGUAAACGAUGAAUACUAGGUGUAGGGGGUAUCGACUCCCUCUGUGCCGCAGUUAACGCAAUAAGUAUUCCGCCUGGGGAGUACGGCCGCACGGUUGAAACUCAAAUGAAUUGACGGGU